rnacentral:rRNA from 1 species
AUUGAACGCUGGCGGCAGGCCUAACACAUGCAAGUCGAACGAGUGGCGGACUUGUGAGUAAUGUCUGGGAAACUGCCUGAUGGAGGGGGAUAUCUACUGGCAACGGUAACUAAUACCGCAUACCAUCAGCUGUUCCCAGAUGGGAUGAGAUAUUAGGUGGCGUAAAGUCUCACCUAGGCGACGAUCCCUAGCUGGUCUGAGAGGAUGACGAGCCCCACUGGAACGGAGAAACGGUCCAGACUGGUACGGGAGGCAGCAGUGGGGAAUAUUGGACACUGGGCGCAAGCAUGAUGCACCCAUGCCGCAUGUAUGAAGAAGGCAUUCGGGUUGUAAAGUAAUUUCAGCGGGGAGGCGUUACCCGCAGAAGAAGCACCGGCUAACUACGUGCCAGCAGCCGCGGUAAUAC